rnacentral:misc_RNA from 1 species
AGCAGCCGCGGUAAUUCCAGCUCCAAUAGCGUAUAUUAAAGUUGUUGCAGUUAAAAAGCUCGUAGUUGAAUUUCGAGAUCAGUUGGUCGGUCGUGCCUCGGUACGUACUGGUCAAAUUGAUUCCUACCUUCUGACGAACCACGAUGUCAUUAAUUUGGUGUCGUGGGAAAUCAGGACUGUUACUUUGAAAAAAUUAGAGUGUUUAAAGCAGGCUCGCGCUUGAAUACAUUAGCAUGGAAUAAUGAAAUAGGACGUUUGAUUCUAUUUUGUUGGUUUCUAGGAUCGACGUAAUGAUUAAUAGGGAUAGUUGGGGGCAUUAGUAUUCAAUUGUCAGAGGUGAAAUUCUUGGAUUUAUUGAAGACUAACUACUGCGAAAGCAUUUGCCAAGGAUGUUUUCAUUAAUCAAGAACGAAAGUUAGGGGAUCGAAGACGAUCAGAUACCGUCGUAGUCUUAACCAUAAACUAUGCCGACUAGGGAUCGGAUGAUGUUAAUUUUUUAAUGACUCAUUCGGCGCCUUAC